UCCAAGUUCCACCAGCCAUGGGAACAGCUGGGGCGCUGCCCGGAACGGCGCUGUCACAACGGGACAGUCCUGCAGGGCACAGUCAGCUCUCCUGAUCAGCUUUGCCAUUGAAUUGUGGUUCUAAGAAAAUGGGCUGAAACCCCUGGGUUUUCCCCCAGGUGCUGUGCAUGGAGCUUCUUAGAGCAGAGACCACAACUCCCACUGCAGUGUAAUGGAAAUCUGGGGGCAUCUCCUUCACAGGUGGUGGUGGAAGCCACCCACAGUGAGAUGCAGCUCUCCCGGGUAGCAUCUCUUAAAGCUCUCUGUUUUAAAACAAGAACAAAUUGCUCUUGCCAGGAAGAAGAUUGGAAAGGCUUGGAGUUGAGGGGAAUUUGUUUUGGAAACUUACUUCAAGGCAAAAUGCUUUCACAAAUAAGAAUGUAUCAGGCUGCCGUCAUGCCCUGACCAGUCGGACAAGUGCAAUUGUUUUGUCCCUUGGACAAUUAGUGUAAUUGCUGCAGCUGUGAUUCAGCUGGGCUCCUGUGCCAGGUUGCUUCUGGCACCGGGAGCCAUCCCGAGGGCCGUACAAGGGUCCCUCUCCCUGAGGCUCCCUGGGCACGGCAUGCAGUGGCCUGGGCUCUGCUAGGGGCAGCAGGAUGGGCGCUUCUGGUGGAGCACCCACCAUGUCCUGCUGCAUGAUGGCACCGACUGAGGGGUCUUGGAGAGGGGAUGGGUCCUUAUUUUCAGUCCUUUACCUGUGAUUGAAUUCAGUAAUGACAAAAAUCCACUAAGACAAGCCCCGUAAGAUGUUGGUGGAGUUUCUCCCUCUGUUUGCUUUCCACCACCCCCACGUCUGAAGUUUCGCUGUCAGCUCGCUGACGUGGGAGCCUUGCGCGGGCUGGUGCUGAGCAGGCCAAGGACAAUCACCUCCUAGUGCUUUGCAGCUAGGUUUGCUUUGACCCUCUGAGGUAUGUUAUGACUUGUUUAGUCUAUACUAAGAUUUUAAGGUAUGUUAUGUGUUACUUAACACGAGGCAAGGUCACCGCAUAGCAGAGCGGAGGAGUCACGAUAGCGUGGAUAAGCGUUACCUAUGUGAGCUUCAGGGUUUUACAAGGACUGCAUUGGAGGUGGUUUUGUCGGAGAGGAUGUUGAAAGUGCACUUGUCUUCUCAAUGCCUGUUGCCAGUGCUUCUCUUUUGCCUGCAAUCACGACACCAGUCCCCGGUGUAGCAGGCAGCUCCUCUCCUUUUCACCUCCAGAGGUUUAUACCAGGAAGCUGACAGCCUAUGUCCUCAGCUCUCAAGUCAGGGUGCUGAAGGGCAGCAUGGUCACAGCAAACAGGAGCACCAAGAGCAGUAAAGCUGCAUCAGCGCAGGCUUUAACACGUGAUAGCAGCUAGAUUAAAGGCCAUUCAGGAGCCCCGGGGACAUACACCGGUUGUUAGCAUAGGCAUAACCCAUAUUUGUGCGCCCGUAUCUGUGUACUUGGGAGAUUACAGCCUCCACAGGCAUGUGACUACAGCGUGGAGAGGCUCUCCUGAUUUAUCGUGAGAACACUUCACGUUUCAGAGGACGGAGAAGGCCUUCGGUUCCCCCUGUAAAUCCCAGUCUUUGUUCCACCUUUCGGCAUGCGCUGCACUCGGAGCGUAGCCAAAGCCAUAAAUCCACCAGCAGGAGGUUCAGGUGGACUUCCCUGGAAAGCCUUCAUCUGAGGAUCUCGCUGUAUUUAGGUGUUGUCCAUUAACCAGGCUCACAGCAGAGCAGUGAUCUUAGCAGCCUUCUCCAGCAUUACUUGGUACAGUAGCAGAGUAGGGAACUAAAAAGCCGAGUCUGCAAAAUGCCCCUUUCCACUGUUGAACUGUAUAAUAACGCUCAAACUGUACUCUGACCUCUGAAGCUAUAAACCUUCCCUGCCUCUUGAAUUUCUCCGGUAGCACCGAGUCAGGCUUCAGUUCAUUUUGUCCAUCGUGUAAGGCCUGGUGGAUGAGUCCGCUCCAGCGAGGUCAGGCACGAGGGAUGCCUCUGAGCCUUCACCAGUCUGUGGUUGUCUCCUUUCCCCUGCCACCCUGCAAGACAACAUUAAUUUCUACUUUGAGGCCUAUCGUGCUGAAGAUAGCAUAACCCAGACCACAUCUAUGUAAAUCUACCGGAUUAUAUUGCCUGCUUGAGGUCAGGAAUCCUCUGAAACAAUGUUCCAGUUGGAUGGGUAAAAGUCAGGAGUACAAAUAGAUUAUGCAUCUCAUAUUUCCUCUAGUGAAGGAAAGGGAGCCCAAGUGCCAGUCAAACACACUACUGCAACAGUACACCUCGGGGAAAACUGCUCCUCUUCCCCUGACAGCUCUUCUGUGAAGAGCAAUUUCUGCAAUUUAUUGAGUGCCUGGGUCUUCCAGGAGCUGUGCAAGCGCAAACAGUAAGCAACCUUUCUUGCAAAGCAGCUCUUCCAGUGCAAGAUUGGGCAUGUAGCCAAAAAGGAAACAUUUGUGAAGAUACCCUGCUCAUGCUGCUAUUUGCUGUUUUAUGCAGAUUUGGCAUGAAAACAACAUGUGAUUUGAUGAGUCAGGUUGCAUACAAUAUAUGCAGGUAUCUGAUGCAAUAUUUAUUUAGUGGUAGGUCACAGGGAAGGAGAGUUGAUAACUGCAGAUAAUAUACAGGGACUUUACAUUAUGCUUAGACCAACUGCGUGUACAGGUGGUUUAGUUUAAUAUAAAACCCAAGCAGCAUUGCCAGACCUAUUGCGAUGUGAUACUAAAAAGGAGUUGUAAUGAGGACUGUUUUCAGUAACCUGUUUCUACCAAGUGGAUGGUGAACGCCUCGUUUGAUAGAGUGAUUAAUGAUACUCAGCGCGACUGCUCAGCCGGCAGGGGCGGAGGCUUUGCUAAUUGGAUCUGGAAAUUCCUUUCCUCAUGCCUAAGGAUGAUGCAAACUUUCACAACCAACUGGAGACCUGUCCUCCCUGCAGCUGGAUGCCAAUAAACACAGCUCAAGUUAAUAACCCUUGUGUCAGGGGAAGAGAUCCGAAAGAGAAUCUGGGCCUCGUUAUUGUUCGUAUGUGGCAUUAUUAGAGGCAUCGUAAUAUGCCAUAGGAGUCCCUUUUUGUUAAGGGGUGGGAGUUGUUAGUUUAAUCACUUGUCUGAGUAAAUGUGUUAAAGACCCCAAGUGCUAUUUGUGACCAGUGGCAUGCUGAACAUGAAGCUGUGGUUGUUGAACACGAAGCCACAACCACGUCUACAUCCCUUUCGCCUUCUGUCUCUUCUUGCAAAAUCUGACCAGAUGCGUUCAAAGUAUUUGCAUUCUGGAAGGCACAGCUGAACCUUCCUCAGCACCCGAAGCUACUGGUGACCAACCUUGUGUGCUGGGUUCUUCACUGUCAGUAGAUGCAUCUUUGUGUGUUCCUACCUUGUUUUAUGCUUCAGCAGGUUUCUGGCUCAGUUUCUGGCUUUAGGUUUCCAGUCCGAUGUUAGGACACUUAUUGGUGUUUGCUGAUGUCAUAUAACUCUUUUUUUAAGCUGCUUGAAGUCCUCAGGAACUGAAAGAGCAUUAUCAGCUUCCUUCACACUGACAAACGGGACAGUUACAGGCCUUCCUUCUUACUGCACUUCAGAAGUGUUUGUUUUGUUUAUGCAAAUUGAAGUAUGCAUAGCUAAUGGCAUGUUAAUAAACCUUUCCCUUUGCCGCUGCUUCUAAAAUCAAAUGUGGACCAAGGUGGGUGGCUUCAUACCGAAACUGAUCUAACUUCCUCUGUUAAUCUGUUGGCUGAUGCUGUGCAGCUUGUCCUAGGUGCUAGCUCCUUGCCCACUUUCCCCUCCUUAAGAACUUUGCCCACUGUCUUAGCAACAGAGGAGCCUGGAAAAUGAUGAGGUGGGCACGGCUGUGCCCAAAGGUCAGCUCUGCCCAGGAAUGUGGCACGAGAUUAAAAAGAUGUGCAGAGAGGCAUUGAAAAUACGAGCCUUAAAGGUGUUCACAGUGUAGAGGCAGGGUGCAAAAAGGACUGAGGGAGAGGUGAGAGAAGUAAGCGUUGCAUGGGGAAGGAGAGGGUUGAGAGGCGAAAGGCAGGCACAGCUGGGUGGGAAACCCAGGAGCUCUCAAGUUUGAUAUGAGAGGAAAAAAAGCUUGAAGCAGAGACAAACAGCCUGGUAUGGAAAUGCCCAUCCAAGCAAGGUUGUCGUUGGGUGAUGCUUUUUUUUCAGUCUGUUAUAAUGAAAAUAAUCUUCUGGGAAAAACCCCGUGGGUUCAGAGCUCACAGCCCUGAGCUUGGCGAGGAGCAGCACGUCUCCACGGAGCGCCCUGGUGCUGCCAGCCCUCCUCGGCACAGCGCUGGUGCCCCGCCAGAUUGGCCUCUUUGCAAUGCUGAGGAAGAAAAUAAUAACUCAUGAAGUAAAAAUAAUACAAGAUACAGAACAAUAAAAAGGGAUUUUCCUCUCUCUGCAAUAGAGAAAUAAAUGGCUGACCACCAGAAGGGGUUCUUCUCUCCUGUUUUCAGUCUUGAGGCUUUUCUCUGAACGACCCAGCGGGGAAAAAAAAAUUGCUGUGUUGUAUCUGCCCAUACAAAGAGGAUGGAAAACAACAACUGGUCGGAGCAACUGGCGCUUGGAGCCAGGAUCCUGCAUCAGUGCUUAAACAAAAUGUGAGAAGAGAAUGCUGUGAAUGUCUUGUUGCUGGACCUAGUGUGAUGAAUAAUUAUGGAGCAGCUGAGCAGUGCUAGCCAGAGGCUCAAAGAAUCUGAGGAGCAAGCAAAAAGAACUCCCCAGGCUGGCUUCGGUGAAAUGGAGGAGCUGAUAGACAAUAACAGGCGUCCUUAGCUCAGGCGGGGAGGUGUCACUUUUGGAUCGCCAUCCGUGGCAGUGUGCACACCAGCAGGACGUGUGCGCGUAUGGAUUUUUGUAUGCAGACGUCCAGAGUUAUUCUGCUGUCUGUGUUGUGAAAGCGCUGAACUGAGACAUCAGUCUGCUGGCACGGCGGGGAAGGCUGACAGGUUUCUCUGUGUGGGGAUCUCCUUUGCCUGUUCAGUGCUUGAAUUAUGUGAAACCUUAAUUAGCAAAUAAGAUGCUUUGGCCUUCCCUGCCGAACCUGAAAUGGCAUUAAGGGAGGUGCAAGGAGGUGCCAGAUGACAUGGCAGUCCUGGCUCCAUGGUUUUUGUUCUGCUCUGCUGUCCUGCUGUUUUGAGAUGCGCUUUCCAUUGUGUCAGCUGCUGGCAAAAUGUUCCUAAAGUUGUUACACGUUUUAUGUUUUGGUAUUGCUUUUUCUGUAUGCAACAGUCAAGCUGCUAAGACCAUGUUGGAGACCCCGUGUGCAGCAGCUGUUGAGCUGAGAAGAAAGAAGCUCGCUCUUUGAAAAGGAAAGCUGCCCUGGUGGGCUGCAGUGGUAAGCCACUGCCUGCUGUGCUCUGCUGGUGCUGUCACUCUCUGGGGCAAAGCAAGCAUCCUCUUCCUAUAAUGCUCCUUGGACUUUUCUGAAAUGGGGUAAACAUUACUCACUCCUUGCAAAGCCACUCCUUUGAUUUGCUCUUCUGUUAUUAAUUACGUGUGCUUCCUUUUGUCACACCACUUUUUUUUUUCUUUGCUGCUGAAGAUGGGGCUGUAGAGAAAUCCGUUACCUCCAUUUCAAUGGCAGACGGGUUAUCUGUCUACAAGAGAGUACAGAAUUGCUUUUAUCAAACAUAUUUCUUUUCCCAUUGUUUCUUGAUGACAGAUACUACUCUUAAUCUACACAGCGACAACACUUUGAGAUGGGAGAUCUGUGUUGCCAUCAAUUUUUGUUACGGUGAUAAAUCACAGCAUAUCUCACUUUCUGAAUGACAUGCUUCUGGAUUUAGGUCUGCAUUUUUUUUUCUUUGUCACGGUUUUUCUUUUUCAAUGCCAGCAACAGCCUUGCCAAAGCUCAUCUGUUCCUUUAGCAUUCACUCCAGCAGGCUGAUUAAUUCUAUCACACGUCUCCCCAUACACAGCAUAAUCAAACAGGUUGAUGGAAAAUCAGGAAGGAUGUGAUAUUUACAAAAUUUCCUAAUGCAUCAUGCUUAUCUUCGACUUUUGUUAGUUGCGGCACCUUGUUUCCUCUGGGUUGGAGGGAUGUCAGCAGAGUCUGACAGGAAAAAGAAUUUCGUCCCCCUGUUUGCGGGCCUCAAGUGUGAUGGUGUCACCCUGCCACACACGGGGAAGUUUGCUUACGAGAGCUUUGAGUGGAGGAUGCCUUAUGUUUUCUUCUGUGCCUCAAGGGCAGCUUCAGUAAAAAAAAAAAAAAAGGGGGGGGGGGGAUCUUUCACCCACAAAUCUUAAAGUAGUAAAGAAUGCAGGUCAGGUGCCUCAUUUCUUUGGCUAUGUAGAUAGCGCUGUUAAUAGCAUGAGUCAAAAAUAUAUAUCAAUGGGAAUACGAGCAGCAAUUUCAAAUGGCUUUAAACCUGUUCUGAGCUCCCUAAACAAAAGCAUCCGGGGGGAACUGGCUGAGCAAAAAUAUUAACUAAUCCUCCUCUUAAGAGGUGGCAAAAUUAAGCAGAGGCAGUCCACAGCCUGGAUAAGGCUCCUGCCUCACUUGUCUUUGCCUGGCGAGGAUGGAGAACUGCUGCCCACACUGCUAUCUCCUGCUUCCCCACCGUGUUUAUAUGGUAAUCUAUAUGGUUUAUGUGGUACUGACUCAGCAAGAAAGAAGGUACUGGGUGUCAGGGUGAGCUUCAGCCAAGCUGCGAGGGCACUGGGGAGUGGGGAGCUAUAGGGCGGGAGUGAAAAGGGAAGGGCCCGCGUACCGAAAAUAAAGGGGAAAAAUCCAAAUCAUCUCACUCUGAGAGACCCCAGGCAAUGCCACACUGUGAGCCCAGUGAGCGCUGUAUUCAUUAGCAGGUCCCAUCAGGAAGGGGGGGGAUUACUGGGUUUGCAGAAAUCCCAUUUGAGAAUUUGCGGUUAAAAUAUAAAUGCAAAACUUAUUAAAAACAUGGUGGGGCUCCCUGAGAAAGAAGAUAAUGUUAAGACCUCAUUUUCCUAUCUGUUGCUGCUAGUUACAGUGAUGUUAUUAAAACUGAAUUCUAUAGGUAUUAAAUCUAUUUUCUUCUGUGUGUGUGUGCAUUUUGUUUUAUUCAGCUUUGGCCAUAAAAGCCAUGGCACUGUUCUGCUACAAAAUUCAUGCUGGCUGUGGUGCUGGUGUGCUGCCUUGUAUGGUAAGUGUGACAUAGGAGGGCCCUGGUAGGAAUCUGUUCCUUUUUAUGUCUGUUUCUAGUUCAUACGAAUCUGUAGUGAAUGUCACCCUCUGACUACUAUUCAAAACCACUUACUUCCAGAAAAAUGUGGGAUGUGAUAAAAGUUGUAGUUUGCAUGUAGAGUUCUGCGUUUCUUUGAGGAAGCCUCUUGUGUUUUCCCCUCUCCCUGUGAUGACAUCAGAAUUAGAUUGGCAGAGAUGAUUUGAGGUAUUUCUGUCACUCAUCAGUUAAUUAUAAUUAAAAAGAUAUUAAACUGUUCAGCUAUCAACACCGCAGGCCUAUGGUAAAUGAAUACUCUCGUUGCACCUUGAUAUCUCUCCCACCUUCUGCUCUUUCCAAAUAUUUGAGAUGUGCUCUGCUGCACUGCGUUCCCACUGUCUGUGAAGCACAAGGGGCAGAAGUUGUCUCAUGUUUGUACAGUGCCUAGUACAGUGUCUCAAACCUUCACUCGUGGCAAUAAAUGCAAAUUACAGAUGAUAAUCUGGCCGAGCAGUUCUUUACCAAGUUGCCUUCUGACUGAGGGAUGAAGAUAGUUGCUAGCUGUGUCUGUGUUGGAGAUCUGGGAUCUCCAUUUCAAAAGCACGUAAAUGUCUGGAAAGAAUAAAGCUGUUUGAUCUAGGCCUUUGACAUGAGUUUUCCUCUCAUUCCAUCAAUUUCUCAUCCCCUCAUGCUAUUUAGUACUUUUUGUCUGCUGGGCCAUCACUUUCUAUAAAACACUUCUGGCAGUUCUAGC